GGAAUCUUCCACAAUGGACGAAAGUCUGAUGGAGCAACGCCGCGUGAGUGAUGAAGGUUUUCGGAUCGUAAAACUCUGUUGUAAGGGAAGAACAAGUACGAGAGGUAAUGCUCGUACCUUGACGGUACCUUGCGAGAAAGCCACGGCUAACUACGUGCCAGCAGCCGCGGUAAUACGUAGGUGGCAAGCGUUGUCCGGAAUUAUUGGGCGUAAAGCGCGCGCAGGCGGCCUUUUAAGUCUGAUGUGAAAGCCCCCGGCUCAACCGGGGAGGGUCAUUGGAAACUGGAAGGCUUGAGUACAGAAGAGAAGAGUGGAAUUCCAUGUGUAGCGGUGAAAUGCGUAGAGAUGUGGAGGAACACCAGUGGCGAAGGCGACUCUUUGGUCUGUAACUGACGCUGAGGCGCGAAAGCGUGGGGAGCAAACAGGAUUAGAUACCCCAG
rnacentral:rRNA from 1 species